rnacentral:rRNA from 1 species
UACGUAGGGUGCGAGCGUUGUCCGGAAUUAUUGGGCGUAAAGGGCUCGUAGGCGGUUUGUCGCGUCGGGAGUGAAAUCCACUGGCUUAACUGGUGGCUUGCUUUCGAUACGGGCAGACUAGAGUGCGGUAGGGGAGACUGGAAUUCCUGGUGUAGCGGUGAAAUGCGCAGAUAUCAGGAGGAACACCGGUGGCGAAGGCGGGUCUCUGGGCAAUAACUGACGCUGAGGAGCGAAAGCGUGGGGAGCGAACAGG